rnacentral:misc_RNA from 1 species
UUUCCGUAGGUGAACCUGUGGAAGGAUCAUUCAUAAUAAAGUGUUUUAUGGCACUUUUUAAAAAUCCAUAUCCACCUUGUGUGCAAUGUUAGAUCUCGUCAAUCUUGGCGAGAUUUUUAUACAUCAACUCAUUCUUUAACUAAUUUGUCUGAAAAAUAUUAUGAAUACCUAAUUCAAAAUACAACUUUCAACAACGGAUCUCUUGGCUCUC